CAAGCCCACCUUCUGCCACCUCUGCUCCGACUUCAUCUGGGGGCUGGCCGGCUUCCUGUGCGACGUCUGCAAUUUCAUGUCUCAUGAGAAGUGCCUGAAGCACGUGAGGAUCCCGUGCACGAGUGUGGCACCCAGCCUGGUCCGGGUGAGUGUGGGGCUGGGUGUUGCACCUGCAAGAGGCUGGGGGAUGUGUCAGCUCUCGUAGGGUCGAGGCACUGAAAACCUUCAUGUCAGACGUUAGUGAUACCUGCAGUUGAAAGGCAAAGGUCAGAUACUGCUCGGGAUUAAAAGGCUGAGCACCCUGCAUGGAUCUGCAGGGAAUGAUGGUGAUAAAAGCCAGUCCCCGAGGUCGCAAAUAGCAAGAUCCUGUCCAUAGAACGUGCUCAAAAUGACGAAACUAAAGGGAGCACAGAUGUAGAGAGGUUUCCAGGCGGAGAAGUGGGCGUGGCUGUGACAUGCAGCGUGAGGGCUCCUGGGGGGGAUGGAGAUUUCGGCAUCUGGCCGUGACCUCAGUUUGCAAGAUCACACACUUAGGGGAGCUGACAAAGGCUUCAGGGGGUCUGUUCAAUUUCCUCACAACUAUGUGUGAACCCACAAGCAUCUCAAGGAAGCUUGAAUAAAAAGCAAAGGCAGGAAGCCUGGGUGCCUGAGGGUGUCUUGGCCACCACCCUCUCUCUAAGGGCUCUGGGUGGGGCAGGGAGGUGACUGGCCCAGGUCACUGCAGGGCACAGGGGACUUCCCUUCUCUGGUGACAGUGGUGACAGCAGGGACAUGUAGGAAGGGCCAGGCUUAUUCCUCCCUCAGCUGUCAGCGUCGCCGUCUUCAGACAGAGGCCCCCCAAGUCCGCAUUCCCUGAUGCGUUCAGGCUGCAGGUGGGGCGCAGGCUGCCAGGCAGGCCCGGGUGUGCAGCAGGACGGGAAGCCAGGCCAGCAGGCGCACCUGCCACUGGCGGGCAUCCGGCUGCGCCGUCCCCUCUAAUGUCUGACGCCCUGUUCCUAAUGAUGCAAUUCCCCAGGUGUGAGCAGGAGGCCUUAGGCCGGUGGCCCUGGUGGUGGCCGACACCCUGGUGACUCCACACUGGCUUGGGCGGCCCCUCGUCAUGUGGACGGCCCAAGGCUGC
rnacentral:lncRNA from 1 species